UACGGGGGGGGCAAGCGUUGUUCGGAAUUACCGGGCGUAAAGGGCUCGUAGGUUGCCAACUAAGUCAGACGUGAAAUCCCCGGGCUCAACCCGGGAACUGCGUCCGAUACUGGGAGGCUUGAAUCCGGGAGAGGGAUGUGGAAUUCCAGGUGUAGCGGUGAAAUGCGUAGAUAUCUGGAGGAACACCGGUGGCGAAGGCGGCAUCCUGGACCGGUAUUGACGCUGAGGCGCGAAAGCCAGGGGAGCAAACGGG
rnacentral:rRNA from 1 species